GCUCCUCCAUCCCGCCACAGCCCGGCCACCGCAUCUCCAUCCCCGCACCAGCAUUGCGAACUGCCUGAGCUCCCGGCCGGGCGCAGACCUCAGAGAACUGGGCUCCCUCCGAAGCCCCGCCAUUCUUCCCCUGUCCCUCUAGAAGUCCAGUCGCACCUUCCCGUAAGUCAGAGGCCGUUUCGGUGCUUCCGACUGCCCGCUGAGGUCCUGCCUCGGGAGCGAGGGUCACGGGCCACAGCAAAGCCACGUUACUGCUGCGGUGGCUUUAACAGCGUCUGCUGUCACCUGCUAGGUUCGUUUCAUACAGGACACUUAACCGGCAAAUGAGAUACAUUAAAUUAAUUUUAAAACUACAUGAAGCUGAAUUGUUGUGUCUCACAAAGGAAGAUAAAGGCAGAGACAAGAUAAAUAAACCCUUUCCAUUUCUUGUAUUGCUGUGAAAAACUAAAGAAAACCCUUCAUGCUGCACAAUGAUUUGCAUUACAGGGGAAGGAGUUCAAGUUUCAAGUAAGAAUUCGUACUUCUAAUGCCCUGCUGUUGGCUGGCAUGAAACAAGCACAGUGCUAUGAUGGAGCUGAGCUGGUUUGUGCCUAGGAACUAAAGUGGCCAGACCUGGUGGUGUGGAAGUCUUCGUGGCUGAAGACUGCAGGAUUUUAUUUUCCCCUUCCCAGUGGUGACAUUUUGUAGGUGAAAUGAAGUCAGUUUCUGCUUUCCCACCCUGCCACUUGCCAUCCUCAUUCCUGCCCUUUUGAUGCCAAACACCUGCCUCUCCCUUUCUGUUCUGUACCUUCCUUUAAGACUCCUGGGUUUUUAUCUGGGGGCUGUUUCCUCUCAAGGAGUGGCUCCAUGUUCACCCCUGUUUUUUGGAUUUGCGUGUGGAUGUGAAUACAGCGCCUGCUCCUUUAACAAUCCCUGAACUCAAACUCCUCUGCAAGUUGCUGGCAGCACCAGAGAGCUGUGAAGAAGGAAGAUGGCAAGUGGGGGAAUGGGAAGAAAAUAUCUUAUGAACCCAGAGACGUGACUGAAGGAGAUGCCGGAAAAAUUGCUCUUCACAGUAAAACCUGAAGAAAUCAGAGCUGGACCCUACAGUGCCCAGACAGAUUCCGACCUGUGUCUCCCAACUGCAGCAAGUUGCAUUGGAAGCAGAGUGAACUAUGGCAGAGACAGAUAUGAGUUGGUGUCUGGAAGGUCCAGUGAAUCCCUUGCCCGUCUCCCUACCCUUUCCCACCUGGAUAGAAGCAAGCAGGUAGUUUCACUUCAGCUCCCACAUCACAGUGAACAGGCAGGGUACACACUGCUGCCAUCAGCUCCAGAGCCUGCCAGCUGGGCUGGAGCAAGGACAGAGAGCCUAAAAACCCCUGUGUACACACCACCGUGAUGGGCAUUGCCUUUGUUUGCCUUUGGGAGUAGAUGAAGACACCGUAGGACUGCCACAUCCCAUCCAUUCCCAGAGAUGACAGGAAUGUCUCUGCUGUGGGGAACCAAAGGACUCAGGCAUUCAUCCAGGAGUCUUUUCUCUUUUGUUUUUUCCUACUUACCACAAAAAAGCCUCCAGUGUUCCUGUUCUCCACCUGCCUGGGUCCCUGGCAGCUGGAUGCCUGGUACUGCCAUGCCCAGUGAACAGGGUGCUCCCAGGGGCAUGGGAUAACCAAGGAAGCUUCCCUCUUCCUGUUUAAAUAAAGCUAUGAGGUGGGAGAGCACCACAUGCCCACAGUGAUGGCACUAGAGGAGUGUCCCUAGAUCCCUGUGCUCCCCCUCAUGCCACACUUCCCCAUUUUCCCAGCCUCAUAUUUCUGGCAAUGUGAGCUGCUGGACACAGGGCUGGGAUACGGCUGGUUCAUAGAGGUGGGAAAAAGCUCUUAUUUGAUGUAUGAAAAGACAAUGUGAAACAGCCCCAAAGGAACCUGUCCUGUGGCUGUUCCUCGUGCCCCUGGCUUCCUGGGCAUUGCAGAUGCCAGGCUGCAGCACAGUGGGGCCCAUCCUGCAUUUGCUCAGGCAGCUGUUGUGAAAUGCGAGACCCUCAUCACGUCUGCUGGGGGAGGAAGGGAAGGCGUGGGAUGGACAGAGGAAAUAGGGUUUUGAGAUAAGCCAUGGGCUGCAUUGAAGAAGGAUGAUUUCCUUUGAGGAGUGUUUGCAGUGCUGACCUACCCACAGACCAUGAAGAGUGAGAGCACGGAGGGGCUGGAGCCAGGGCCAUCAAUCAGGAGGGAACAGAACUCCCAGGGAGGCUCCGGUUUUCCAAAACGUGCCCAGUCGCCUUUUGGUUUGGAAAACCUGAACCCAUGAGUUGUUCAGAGCCAGGACUCUUUGAAUCCAAGCCUGUAAAGCUGGGGGAAGUUUAGAGAAACUCCCUGUCUUGGCUCAUCUCCAAGUCAAAUUAACUCUUGGAAGGUGAGGAGGUGUUCAGAUAAGUAUCAAAUCGCUCUCUAAUGGGUCAAGGCCAUUUUUUCCAGUGAACAAAAGGGAUUUUUAUUGGAUCUCUCUUACACUGCAUAUCUCAGACUGAACUUAAGAUAGCUGUGAAAAAAAUUAAGAAGUGAGGAAGUCCAAAUCCUGCAGCAAUGAAUAAAACCCAUUAUUAAAUUUCCUCAUGAAGACUUCACCCAAAUAAACCCAAUGAAAAAUCAGUUUAAGAUUGAACUGAGUCUGGAUGCGAGAGGAUUCUAAGGAAAUUCACUAUUACGAGGGGAAUUCUAAGGGGAAUUUGGAAAGAAAUCAUAUAUUCAUAUGUGCCGACUCAGGGGAGUUAAUUCCUAAUGUUUUUAUUCAACUAUCCUGUCUUCUGCACUGAAACUUUCUAGACUCCGUCCCUAAGUUUUCCUUUGGUUCUUGGUACCGCAGUCACUGUGAGCACCACUCUGUGUGUGGAGAUAUUCCUAAGAGAGAAACAAAUCAUUAUGACAGCAUAAAGAGGAAAUUGUGGAAGGCUUCUUAAACACUUCAAGGAGAGGAAAUGUGCAGAAAAUAGAUGUAAAUCCAUUUUUCCUCCAACAUCCCAGAGAGGUGAAAGGAAGGCAGCGAGAACCGCAGUUUUCUCUUGCAGUGAGAAAAACCCUCUUUCCUUCUGAGCUACUGACAAAAAGAUUUAGGGAAAAGAAGAGAAAAAAAGGGCAUUUGUACAGUGAAGAAAAAAGGGAGAAGGCUUUGAAGACCUAAUUAACAGACUCUGUCCCAAGUCACUUCAGUUCAGCUGCAUCACAAAACUUUGACAGAGAUCCAUGGGACCACAACAACCUGCCCAAGAGAAUAGGACACUGUAAACAAAACUAGUUGCUCCAAAACCCCACCCCCUCCAAAUCCAGGGGGCUGGGAAGGGGAGGAGGCUGCAGCUGAGGGCCUGUUUUCCUGCUCACUAAUAAAUUUAGUUUACAGAA